GAUGAACGCUGGCGGUGUGCCUAAUACAUGCAAGUCGAGCGAACGGACGAGAAGCUUGCUUCUCUGAUGUUAGCGGCGGACGGGUGAGUAACACGUGGAUAACCUACCUAUAAGACUGGGAUAACUUCGGGAAACCGUAGCUAAUACCGGAUAAUAUUUUGAACCGCAUGGUUCAAAAGUGAAAGACGGUCUUGCUGUCACUUAUAGAUGGAUCCGCGCUGCAUUAUCUAGUUGGUAAGGUAACGGCUUACCAAGGCAACGAUGCAUAGCCGACCUGAGAGGGUGAUCGGCCACACUGGAACUGAGACACGGUCCAGACUCCUACGGGAGGCAGCAGUAGGGAAUCUUCCGCAAUGGGCGAAAGCCUGACGGAGCAACGCCGCGUGAGUGAUGAAGGUCUUCGGAUCGUAAAACUCUGUUAUUAGGGAAGAACAUAUGUGUAAGUAACUGUGCACAUCUUGACGGUACCUAAUCAGAAAGCCACGGCUAACUACGUG
rnacentral:rRNA from 1 species